UUUAAUGCGAUGAAAAGAUGAGUAACUGCUAAAAUCGUGCUGAGAGAGCUCAUGCAAUGGUGAAAGUGAGAAACGAUUAGGUAGUGAAAAUGGUCUUGGAGCGAUAUGUUUUUCGAGCGCUAGAGUGUUUGUGUAAGAAAGCAUUGUUUGGUACCCAUUAAUGUACCGGAGUAUAGUGCUUUUUACUGUACUUUCAGAGUUAUCUAAUGCGAGUUAGGUAAAUAAAAGGUGGUACCGCGAUCGUUUCGUUCGCCCUUGGA
rnacentral:ncRNA from 1 species